rnacentral:misc_RNA from 1 species
AUCUAACAGGUUAAAUAAUUUAUAAUGAUGAAGCCCAUGUAUUUAUUAUUUUUUUUAUUAAUAAAACUUUCUAUAUUUGUCGACGGAAGAAAUAUUGUAUUAAUAAUUGCUGACGAUUUGGACUCGUUACUCGACGGAAUGACACCACUUAAAAACAUCCAAGACAUCAUAGGAAAAAAUGGAGUAUCUUUUUUGAAUUGUUUUGUAGCAUCGCCAAUAUGCUGUCCAAAUAGAGCAUCUAUUUUGACAGGACGAUACCAGCAUAAUCAUUUGACUUUAAAUAACUCUUUAUCUGGAGGAUGUAAUAGUAUAGAAUGGCAAAGAACUCACGAAAAGCGAACAUUUGGUACGAUUCUUAAAAACCAAAAAAAUUAUAGAACAUUUUACGCCGGUAAAUAUUUGAAUGAAUACGGAGCAGAGUCAGCAGGCGGACCAAGCCACGUACCAUCCGGAUGGGAUUGGUGGGCUGGAUUAUUAGGUAAUUCGAAGUACUAUAAUUAUACAUUGUCGAUAAAUGGUACCACAAAAUUUUAUUCAGAUAAAACCGAAGACUAUUUGACAGAUGUGAUAGCUGGAAUGGCUGUUGAUUUCAUUCGAAGUUAUGAUAACUCCACUCAACCAUUUCUCAUGGUUCUUGCACCUCCAGCACCACAUGCACCAUUCACACCAGCUGUGAGACAUAAUGAUAAAUUUAGAGAUAUUAAGGCAAAACGGACACCCAAUUUCAAUUCAUUUACUCAAUUGGAUAAACAUUGGUUGGUGCGGAUGCAUCCAUCUCCACUUCCAAAUGAAAUAUUAACAAAGCUAGAUUUUAUAUAUAGACGACGCUGGGAAACACUAUUAUCGAUAGAUGAUUUAGUAGAAAAAAUACAUCAAACGUUAAAAUUGGAAAACUUUUUGAACGAUACAUUUAUAAUAUUUACGUCUGAUAAUGGAUAUCACAUUGGACAAUUUAGCAUGCCAUUUGAUAAAAGGCAGCUUUAUGAAAGUGAUAUUCGAGUGCCUUUGUUGAUUCGUGGACCAGGGAUAGAAUUUUCACAAGUAACAACACCUGUGAGUAGUGUUGAUCUAUUCAACACGAUUUUACAAAUCGCAGGAAUUGAUGGAAUGUCAGAUGGAAUAUCAGUACUAUCAAAAAACAUUUCUCAGGAUCGAACGGUACUAAUUGAAUACAAAGGAGAGAAAUCUUUGAAUUAUUACAAUACAACCUGCGCAAACGAGUUCGACUUAAAUUUAUACAUCAACAUUCUUAACUUAAGUUAAAACUUAACUUAAGUUACGGAAAUUCCCACUAAAAAUGAACGUUUUUCUCAAAAAAAGCGGGCUGCGAUAAAAGUAUGGCUUGCAAGUGUCAAGAUUCUGCUAAUAACACCUAUUCUUGUAUUAGAAGG